UUCAUGAGGUGAAAGAUGGAAUGUUCCAUUCAACGAGGCGACAGCCGAGUUGACUGGAACAUUCCAUUUUUCACCGAAUGAAAAUAUUCUUAC